rnacentral:rRNA from 1 species
UACGUAGGGUGCAAGCGUUGUCCGGAAUUAUUGGGCGUAAAGGGCUCGUAGGCGGUCUGUCACGUCGGGAGUGAAAACUCAGGGCUUAACCCUGAGCCUGCUUCCGAUACGGGCAGACUAGAGGUAUGCAGGGGAGAACGGAAUUCCUGGUGUAGCGGUGAAAUGCGCAGAUAUCAGGAGGAACACCGGUGGCGAAGGCGGUUCUCUGGGCAUUACCUGACGCUGAGGAGCGAAAGUGUGGGGAGCAAACAGG